GAGGCCUGUCAGAGGCCAGACCUGCUACAGCAGAAAUCCAGGAGAUUGCUGACAAGGUCAAGCCACUGCUUGAAAAGAAAACCAAUGAGAAAUAUGAAAAAUUUGAGGCCGUCCAGUAUAAAGUUCAAGUUGUCGCUGGAUUAAAUUACUUCAUUAAGGUGGAUGUAGGGUGUGGUUGUUACGUCCACCUAAGAGUCUUCAGUGGUAUUCCAAAGAAAAUGAGUUGGAACUUCAUGGUUACCAGACUAACAAAUCCAAGAAUGAAGAGCUGACCUAUUUCUAAACAGCAAAUCCUAAUAUGAUCUCAUCCCUCUCAUUGUAAAGAAAUGCAGCCAUCAAUAAAGAUACAUUCUUC
rnacentral:lncRNA from 1 species